rnacentral:rRNA from 1 species
AACGAACGCUGGCGGCAGGCCUAACACAUGCAAGUCGAACGCUCGUAGCAAUACGGGAGUGGCAGACGGGUGGGUAACACGUGGGAACCUUCCCUAUGGUUCGGAAUAGCUCAGGGAAACUUGGGGUAAUACCGGAUAAGCCCUUCGGGGGAAAGAUUUAUCGCCAUUGGAUGGGCCCGCGUCGGAUUAGCUAGUUGGUGAGGUAACGGCUCACCAAGGCAACGAUCCGUAGCUGGUCUGAGAGGAUGAUCAGCCACACUGGGACUGAGACACGGCCCAGACUCCUACGGGAGGCAGCAGUAAGGAAUAUUGCGCAAGU